AAAAAGGGAUGCAGUUGUUUGUCGCCUCAUUGAGUACCUUGGGGAACAUCAAGAAGAUCUCAUCCAAGAUUGGUAGGAUUUUGCGAUGGAGGGAAACAAAGUGCUGAACGUGUGUGGAAACCGAACCAAGGCAUGUGUGCUGUUGAUGGGAUUGAUCUACGCUCUCAAACUUGAGUAUUCCAAGAAGCUUGAGUAUACUUAAAGUAUUUCAGAAACUCUUUUGGUGCUUGACAGAGCAAAGCUGCUCAAGAAGGUCCAGAGCCUCAAAAGUAAGCUAAUGAUGAACUGUUUGUCACCGUAUUCAGGCACAGACUGUUUCCUGGGAACUUACUGUUGGUGCUGAAGAAUGCUCACUGUACAAUACAAUCAGACAAUUUCAUCUCCCAAAGAGCAGUGUCACAUUGAAAUUCACUACAUUCAAAUAAUGCAUAUCAUCUCAUGGAUCAGUGUUAUUCAAAAGAUACAUAUUGGUUGAGCAAGGACUGAACUCAGUGUGUUUCUGACUGGUACUAGGCUGUCAAUUCAUUUAACCAAAGGGACACGGUGUUGAGAUGUGGAAAAUGCUGUUUUUUGUUCAGGCACAGACUGACUGGUUAUCUUCAACAAUCCCAUAAGGCUUUGCAAAUAUCUGCAUAUGUUC